rnacentral:rRNA from 1 species
AAUGAACGCUGGCGGCAUGCCUAACACAUGCAAGUCGAACGAAGGCUUCGUCCUUAGUGGCGCACGGGUGCGUAACGCGUGGGAAUCUGCCCUCAGGUUCGGACUAACAGCGAGAAAUUGCUGCUAAUACCGGAUGAUAUCGCGAGUUCAAAGAUUUAUCGCCUGAGGAUGAGCCCGCGUAGGAUUAGCUAGUUGGUGUGGUAAAGGCGCACCAAGGCGACGAUCCUUAGCUGGGCUGAGAGGAUGAUCAGCCACACUGGGACGGAGACACGGCCCAGACUCCGACGGGAGGCAGCAGUGGGGAAGAUUGGACAAGGGGCGAAAGCCGGAUCCAGCAAUGCCGCGGGAGUGAUGAAGGCCUGAGGGUUGUAAAGCUCUUUUACCCGGGAUGAUAAUGACAGUACCGGGAGAAUAAGCUCCGGCUAACUCCGUGCCAGCCGCCGCCGUAA